CUCUCCUCCUUGUUGUUUCUUGGCGCCUGGCUUCUUUGGAAGCAUCGGAACAACAUCGUGUUCGACGACGAGGCUCCCUCUCUCCAACGUCUCCUCAGCCUCAUCAUCGGCGAGGCCCGCCUUUGGGCCGCCGUCGGAAACAUUGGCUCGGCCAACAUAUUACCUAAGUAG
rnacentral:rRNA from 1 species